AGUUCCUCUCCCAAACUCUCAGCCGCCACCCCAUCUUUCUCCACAGCCAACGUACGAAGUGUUACAUUUUCGCGUCGCGUCCGCCGUCGUCUGGAGCUUGUCCACCCUCGAACCUUGGGCCUUUUUCUGACCCCGCACCUUCGUCAUUCUCUCUCCAUCCCGUUCUUCCCUCCUUCGUUCACACUCUCCCGAAUGCUUCCCUCGGGAUCUUUGGCCAUGACGCUCGACAGGGGACACAAUGCAGUGGGGCAAGCCGUUCCUCUCGGCCAGCGGAUGGUUCUGUAUGCCUUUCGGCCUGAGUGGUGACCCACACGAGUCGGCCGGGCUCCCAGCGGGGGCCCCACAUCCUGGUGUUUGUCUACUGUAACAGCAACUCCAUGUGGAACCUGUCAGUGUUCCAGUGGGGCUGCUGUUACCAGCAGACAGACACCCAUAACUCGUCACGCGGGAUGUUCCCCUGCGUCACCUCCGUUACCAUGGGAUCUCACACAUACCUAAGCAUUUACUCUUAUGCUGCUUAACAAAUAAUGAACUUAUAUAAGAGUUACCGAACAUAAUCUGUGCUUAAACAGAUGUAUCAAAUUUCUUUUGAACUGUUUUUUAGCUUUUGUUUAGCUAGCGAACAACAUAAUGUGGUUUCAGUUUUAGAUAACACAAACACUAAACCAUGUGGGUUGUGCCUGUGAACUAUAAGUAAAUGUCUUCAACUGUAAAGGUUAAUUUUAUUUUUGUUACAUUUAUGUGUAGCACUAUUACAUAAAACUAUAUAUAUAUAAAAUUGUUUUUCCAUGAUGUGAUACGAAGCAUGUGGCUCUAAUUUUGCAUGAGGGAAUAUGUUUCUGGUUUUGUGGCAGCUGGGGCGCAGGAUGAUGACCUAUAAAUUGACAGCCAGUGUUUGAACCUGGCUGUCAGUUCUGUAGGCCAAUGCCCUGUUUGCCCUGUCAAACACAGCCAUAUUUGGGCAAAAAGAGUGGGAACGGACAGCUUUACGGGAGACAUGCCUGUUAAACAGGAACCCGCCAAAUACGAUUCAGCUUGUCUUAGUAGUAUGCUAAUGAUACCAGCUAAUAAAAAAUGAUAUGUUUCUUAAUCUCA